rnacentral:rRNA from 1 species
AGAGUUUGAUCAUGGCUCAGAACGAACGCUGGCGGCGUGGAUAAGACAUGCAAGUCGAGCGCUGAUUACAGGGUAGCAAUAUUCUGUAGUCGGAGCGGCGCAAGGGUGCGUAACACGUGGGCAAUCUGCCGUGAAGUCGGGGACAACUUGCUGAAAGGCGAGCUAAUACCGGAUGUAAAAAUCGGAAGGCAUCUUCUGAUUUUCAAAGCUGGGGACCGUAAGGCCUGGCGCUUCAUGAUGAGCCCGCGGCCUAUCAGCUAGUUGGUGAGGUAACGGCUCACCAAGGCUAAGACGGGUAGCUGGUCUGAGAGGACGACCAGCCACACUGGAACUGAGACACGGUCCAGACACCUACGGGUGGCAGCAGUCGAGAAUUUUUCACAAUGGGCGAAAGCCUGAUGGAGCGACGCCGCGUGGGGGAUGAAUGGCUUCGGCCCGUAAACCCCUGUCAUUUGCGAUCAAACCUCUUCAUUUAAAAGAUGAUGAGCUGAUAGUAGCGAAAGAGGAAGGGACGGCUAACUCUGUGCCAGCAGCCGCGGUAAUACAGAGGUCCCAAGCGUUGUUCGGAUUCACUGGGCGUAAAGGGUGCGUAGGUGGCGAGGUAAGUCGGAUGUGAAAGCUCGGAGCUCAACUCCGAAAUGGCAUUGGAAACUACCUUGCUCGAGGGUUGGAGGGGGGACUGGAAUUCUCGGUGUAGCAGUGAAAUGCGUAGAUAUCGAGAGGAACACCAGUGGCGAAGGCGAGUCCCUGGACAACUCCUGACACUGAGGCACGAAAGCUAGGGGAGCAAACAGGAUUAGAUACCCCCGUAGUCC